GUAGUGAUUUAACUGAAUUUGUCAGCUACAACUAUUUAAUUCUGAAUAUUAUAUUUUAUUCUGGUGCACUUAACGUUAUCGUUUUCUCAGUGGAACGGCCUUAUUAUGAUGUUGACGAAAUUAACACUGCUUAAUAGAUUUAAAAAAAAAACAGCCUUGUCAUGUUUGCAUAUGUGUUUAUCCUGACAGGGACAAUCCAUCUGAGAGACUCGGCAACCAGAAGAACGGCGUGAAGGACAUCCAGAAACACAAAUGGUUUGAGGGGUUUAACUGGGAUGGUAUUCGGGAAGGAACCUUGGCUCCUCCAUUUAUACCAAAUGUGGAUGGGCCUUUGGACACAAGUAAUUUCGACUGUUUCUCUGAGGACACAGAUGAGCCGCCCCCUGAUGAAGAGUCUGGCUGGGAUAUUGAGUUCUAAUUGGAUGGACCAAAUGUUAUGAAUGGACACAUAAACUGUAGCCUGAAUCCAGAAUAGAACAUGAACAACAGAGCUGUUAGUGCCUGAAAGUCAUGUGCAAAUAAAACUUUUUCUUUCUUUAGA